GAUGAAGAACGUAGCAAAAUGCGAUAAGUAAUGUGAAUUGCAGAAUUCAGUGAAUCAUCGAAUCUUUGAACGCACAUUGCGCCCGCCAGUAUUCUGGCGGGCAUGCCUGUUCGAGCGUCAUUUCAACCCUCAAGCACAGCUUGGUGUUGGGACUCGCGUUAAUUCGCGUUCCCCAAAUUGAUUGGCGGUCACGUCGAGCUUCCAUAGCGUAGUAGUAAAACCCUCGUUACUGGUAAUCGUCGCGGCCACGCCGUUAAACCCCAACUUCUGAAUGUUGACCUCGGAUCAGGUAGGAAUACCCUCUGAACUUAAGCAUAUCAAUAAGCGGAGGA
rnacentral:misc_RNA from 1 species